rnacentral:rRNA from 1 species
AUUGAACGCUGGCGGCAGGCCUAACACAUGCAAGUCGAGCGGAGCGGCGGACGGGUGAGUAAUGCCUAGGAAUCGGCCUGGUAGUGGGGGAUAACGUCCGGAAACGGGAGCUAAUACCGCAUACUAUCAGAUGAGCCAAGGUCGGAUUAGCUAGGUGGGGGGGUAAAGGCCUACCAAGGCGACGAUCCGUAACUGGUCUGAGAGGAUGAUCAGUCACACUGGAACUGAGACACGGUCCAGACUCCUACGGGAGGCAGCAGUGGGGAAUAUUGGACAAUGGGCUAAAGCCUGAUCCAGCCAUGCCGCGUGUGUGAAGAAGGUCUUCGGAUUGUAAAGCACUUUCAGCGGGGAGGCGUUACCCGCAGAAGAAGCACCGGCUAACUCCGUGCCAGCAGCCGCGGUAAUUC